GUGCUUGCUUCGGCAGCACAUAACUAAAUUGGAAUGAUACAGAGAUUAGCAUGGUCCCUGCACAAGGAUGACACUCACUCAUGAAGCAGUCCACGUUUUA
rnacentral:snRNA from 1 species